CCCGUGAUCCGGGUUGCGGACAGUGUCUGGUGGGUAGUUUGACUGGGGCGGUCUCCUCCUAAAGAGUAACGGAGGAGCACGAAGGUUGGCUAAUCCUGGUCGGACAUCAGGAGGUUAGUGCAAUGGCAUAAGCCAGCUUGACUGCGAGCGUGACGGCGCGAGCAGGUGCGAAAGCAGGUCAUAGUGAUCCGGUGGUUCUGAAUGGAAGGGCCAUCGCUCAACGGAUAAAAGGUACUCCGGGGAUAACAGGCUGAUACCGCCCAAGAGUUCAUAUCGACGGCGGUGUUUGGCACCUCGAUGUCGGCUCAUCACAUCCUGGGGCUGAAGUAGGUCCCAAGGGUAUGGCUGUUCGCCAUUUAAAGUGGUACGCGAGCUGGGUUUAGAACGUCGUGAGACAGUUCGGUCCCUAUCUGCCGUGGGCGCUGGAGAACUGAGGGGGGCUGCUCCUAGUACGAGAGGACCGGAGUGGACGCAUCACUGGUGUUCGGGUUGUCAUGCCAAUGGCACUGCCCGGUAGCUAAAUGCGGAAGAGAUAAGUGCUGAAAGCAUCUAAGCACGAAACUUGCCCCGAGAUGAGUUCUCCCUGAGACUUAGAGUCUCCUGAAGGAACGUUGAAGACGACGACGUUGAUAGGCCGGGUGUGUAAGCGCAGCGAUGCGUUGAGCUAACCGGUACUAAUGAACCGUGAGGCUUAACCUU
rnacentral:rRNA from 1 species